GGCGCAGUAAAUACGGUUACGACGCUCAUUUUGUUGCAGCGGUUGCAGGUAUUGUGUAAUUCGGGCGGAGAGCAAGACAAGAUAAUAUAUCCUAAUUUGUUGCAAAAAUGUCGGGAGUUGCGUUUGGAGCAAGGCAAAUGGCUCAGUUGAAGAACUGGAUCCCCACGCUGGCCACCUUCGGCGGCUUCGCAGCGCUGACCGGAUGCUACAUCACCGACUGGCAGGUGGUCUGCGGGUACAUCCCCUUCUACAACCAAAAAUUCAAAGAGGACUCCAACGAAUGAUUUAAUCAAUUGUCUUUGUGUGACAGGGAAAACUUGUAUGAAACCGUGUCGGAUACCGCAUCACACGUCGGCGUCUUGGCCCUACGAGCUGCAGCCACCCGAGGCCGUCCGGCGACGGCCAACAGUAGGUCAAACAUCCGUCAGCAGUGAAUGACACAACAGGCUCCGAUGGCCUGGCCGGGUAUCUAUUCGAUUGACGGUUUUCCGCAAUAUUGUGCUACCAUCGUCUCACCAUGUGUGCGAGUGUGAUUGGCUGCGCAUUUUUAACAAAUAAAAUGCGUGGUGAAA